rnacentral:lncRNA from 1 species
AUUGUAUUGCUUUUAGUAAUUGUCGUGGGAAGGGAAAUAGGAAUGUUGUACAAACACAACAAUAUUACAAGGCAAGCAUAGUUAAAGCACAAGAGGAAACUACAUUGGAUACACAACACAUGCCAAAUCCAAGAUUUUCUUAAAUGCAAGAAGCAGCAUACGUGAUUCAACAGGCUACAGGAAAUAAUGUGCAACAGCACCAUCGCUCAAGUGAUCACUAUACUUCUUGACAAGAAUGGACCUUGGGCCUAACUCAACAUACAGGAAAUAAUGUGCAACAGCACCAUCGUUCAAGUGAUCACUAUUCUUCUAAUACUUUAGCAAUACAUUCAGAAGAUGCAAAGCAACAUCAGGCUACAAAGGCAAUACAGAUCACUUUGGAUCCUACCUCAUUUAGAACAGGUCCUGC